AAUGGGUCAGCGACUUAUAUUCUGUAGCAAGGUUAACCGAAUAGGGGAGCCGAAGGGAAACCGAGUCUUAACUGGGCGUUAAGUUGCAGGGUAUAGACCCGAAACCCGGUGAUCUAGCCAUGGGCAGGUUGAAGGUUGGGUAACACUAACUGGAGGACCGAACCGACUAAUGUUGAAAAAUUAGCGGAUGACUUGUGGCUGGGGGUGAAAGGCCAAUCAAACCGGGAGAUAGCUGGUUCUCCCCGAAAGCUAUUUAGGUAGCGCCUCGUGAAUUCAUCUCCGGGGGUAGAGCACUGUUUCGGCAAGGGGGUCAUCCCGACUUACCAACCCGAUGCAAACUGCGAAUACCGGAGAAUGUUAUCACGGGAGACACACGGCGGGUGCUAACGUCCGUCGUGAAGAGGGAAACAACCCAGACCGCCAGCUAAGGUCCCAAAGUCAUGGUUAAGUGGGAAACGAUGUGGGAAGGCCCAGACAGCCAGGAUGUUGGCUUAGAAGCAGCCAUCAUUUAAAGAAAGCGUAAUAGCUCACUGGUCGAGUCGGCCUGCGCGGAAGAUGUAACGGGGCUAAACCAUGCACCGAAGCUGCGGCAGCGACACUAUGUGUUGUUGGGUAGGGGAGCGUUCUGUAAGCCUGUGAAGGUGUACUGUGAGGUAUGCUGGAGGUAUCAGAAGUGCGAAUGCUGACAUAAGUAACGAUAAAGCGGGUGAAAAGCCCGCUCGCCGGAAGACCAAGGGUUCCUGUCCAACGUUAAUCGGGGCAGGGUGAGUCGACCCCUAAGGCGAGGCCGAAAGGCGUAGUCGAUGGGAAACAGGUUAAUAUUCCUGUACUUGGUGUUACUGCGAAGGGGGGACGGAGAAGGCUAUGUUGGCCGGGCGACGGUUGUCCCGGUUUAAGCGUGUAGGCUGGUUUUCCAGGCAAAUCCGGAAAAUCAAGGCUGAGGCGUGAUGACGAGGCACUACGGUGCUGAAGCAACAAAUGCCCUGCUUCCAGGAAAAGCCUCUAAGCAUCAGGUAACAUCAAAUCGUACCCCAAACCGACACAGGUGGUCAGGUAGAGAAUACCAAGGCGCUUGAGAGAACUCGGGUGAAGGAACUAGGCAAAAUGGUGCCGUAACUUCGGGAGAAGGCACGCUGAUAUGUAGGUGAAGCGACUUGCUCGUGGAGCUGAAAUCAGUCGAAGAUACCAGCUGGCUGCAACUGUUUAUUAAAAACACAGCACUGUGCAAACACGAAAGUGGACGUAUACGGUGUGACGCCUGCCCGGUGCCGGAAGGUUAAUUGAUGGGGUUAGCGCA
rnacentral:rRNA from 1 species